rnacentral:rRNA from 1 species
UACGUAGGGUGCAAGCGUUGUCCGGAAUUAUUGGGCGUAAAGAGCUCGUAGGCGGUCUGUCGCGUCUGGUGUGAAAAUCCAGGGCUUAACCCUGGACCUGCAUCGGGUACGGGCAGACUAGAGUGCGGUAGGGGAGAUCGGAAUUCCUGGUGUAGCGGUGAAAUGCGCAGAUAUCAGGAGGAACACCGGUGGCGAAGGCGACUUCCUGGCCUGUUCUUGACGCUGAGGCGCGAAAGCUAGGGGAGCAAACGGG